GUGGGGAAUAUUGGACAAUGGGGGGAACCCUGAUCCAGCCAUGCCGCGUGUGUGAAGAAGGCCUUUUGGUUGUAAAGCACUUUAAGCGAGGAGGAGGCUACCGAGAUUAAUACUCUUGGAUAGUGGACGUUACUCGCAGAAUAAGCACCGGCUAACUCUGUGCCAGCAGCCGCGGUAAUACAGAGGGUGCAAGCGUUAAUCGGAUUUACUGGGCGUAAAGCGCGCGUAGGUGGCCAAUUAAGUCAAAUGUGAAAUCCCCGAGCUUAACUUGGGAAUUGCAUUCGAUACUGGUGGGCUAGAGUAUGGGAGAGGAUGGUAGAAUUCCAGGUGUAGCGGUGAAAUGCGUAGAGAUCUGGAGGAAUACCGAUGGCGAAGGCAGCCAUCUGGCCUAAUACUGACACUGAGGUGCGAAAGCAUGGGGAGCAAACAGGAUUAGAUACCCGGGUAGUCC
rnacentral:rRNA from 1 species